UACGAAGGUCCCGAGCGUUAUCCGGAUUUAUUGGGUUUAAAGGGUGCGUAGGCGGGUUAUUAAGUCAGUGGUGAAAGCCUACAGCUUAACUGUAGAAUUGCCAUUGAUACUGAUGAUCUUGAGUAUGAUUGAGGUGGGCGGAAUGUGUCAUGUAGCGGUGAAAUGCUUAGAUAUGACACAGAACACCGAUUGCGAAAGGCAGCUCACUUAAGUCAAUAAACUGACG
rnacentral:rRNA from 1 species